UUGGAGGGCAAGUCUGGUGCCAGCAGCCGCGGUAAUUCCAGCUCCAAUAGCGUAUAUUAAAGUUGUUGCAGUUAAAAAGCUCGUAGUUGAAUUUCGAGAUCAAUUUUCUUGGUCAUACCUUUGUAUGUACUGGUCUAAUUGAUUUCUCCCUUCUGAUGAACCAUGAUGUCAUUAAUUUGGUGUUAUGGGGAAUCAGGACUAUUACUUUGAAAAAAUUAGAGUGUUUAAAGCAGGCUCACGCUUGAAUACAUUAGCAUGGAAUAAUGAAAUAGGACGUUUGAUUCUAUUUUGUUGGUUUCUAGGAUUGACGUAAUGAUUAAUAGGGAUAGUUGGG
rnacentral:rRNA from 1 species